rnacentral:misc_RNA from 1 species
UACAGAGGCCCCGAGCGCUAAUCGGAAUCACUGGGCUUAAAGGGUGCGUAGGCGGAUCUGCAAGCGUCCUGUGAAAUCCCCCGGCUCAACCGGGGAACUGCGGGGCGAACUGCGGGUCUUGAGGCAGGUAUGGGUUGCUGGAACAGUAGGUGGAGCGGUGAAAUGCGUAGAUAUCUACUGGAACGCCGAUGGUGAAGACGAGCAACUGGGCCUGUCCUGACGCUGAGGCACGAAAGCGUGGGGAGCAAACAGG